GCAGUGGUGGUUCAGUGGUAGGGUGCUUGCAUUUCAUGCAGGAGACCUGGGUUCAAUUCCCAGUCAAUGCA
rnacentral:tRNA from 1 species